rnacentral:rRNA from 1 species
GAUGAACGCUGGCGGCGUGCUUAACACAUGCCAGUCGAACGAGAAGUGGAGACGGAAACCUUCGGGCGGAAGACUUUAUUUCGAGUGGCGGACGGGUGAGUAACGCGUGGGUAACCUGCCUCAUACAGGGGGAUAACAGUUGGAAACGACUGUUAAUACCGCAUAAGACCACAGCACCGCAUGGUGCGGGGGUAAAAACUCCGGUGGUAUGAGAUGGACCCGCGUUCGAUUAGCCAGUUGGCGGGGUAACGGCCCACCAAAGCGACGAUCGAUAGCCGAUCUGAGAGGAUGACCGGCCACAUUGGGACUGAGACACGGCCCAAACUCCUACGGGAGGCAGCAGUGGGGAAUAUUGCACAAUGGGGGAAACCCUGAUGCAGCGACGCCGCGUGAGUGAAGAAGUAUUUCGGUAUGUAAAGCUCUAUCAGCAGGGAAGAAAAUGACGGUACCUGAGGAAGAAGCCCCGGCUAACUACGUG